rnacentral:tRNA from 1 species
GCGGGUGUGGUGGAACUGGCAGACACGCCAGAUUUAGGAUCUGGUGCCGCAAGGCGUGGGGGUUCGAGCCCCUCCACCCGCACCA